AAACAAAACAAAAAAAAGAAAAGAAAAAGGAAAAAGGAAAGGAAGGUCUGAUGGUUGCC
rnacentral:ribozyme from 1 species